GUAUCUGUAGCGCAACUCUUAGCGCGUUAGACUUCUAGUCUAAAGAUCGUGGGUCCAAAUCCCACCUGAUAUA